GAUGAACGCUAGCGGCAGGCUUAACACAUGCAAGUCGAGGGGUAUAGUUCUUCGGAAUUAGAGACCGGCGCACGGGUGCGUAACGCGUAUGCAAUCUACCUUUCACAGAGGGAUAGCCCCAGAGAAAUUUGGAUUAAUACCUCAUAGUAUAGCAGUUUCGCAUGAAACCACUAUUAAAGUCACAACGGUGAAAGAUGAGCAUGCGUCCCAUUAGCUAGUUGGUAAGGUAACGGCUUACCAAGGCAACGAUGGGUAGGGGUCCUGAGAGGGAGAUCCCCCACACUGGUACUGAGACACGGACCAGACUCCUACGGGAGGCAGCAGUGAGGAAUAUCGGACAAUGGGCGCAAGCCUGAUCCAGCCAUGCCGCGUGCAGGAUGACGGUCCUAUGGAUUGUAAACUGCUUUUAUACAGGAAGAACACUACUUCGUGAAGUAGCUUGACGGUACUGUAAGAAUAAGGAUCGGCUAACUCCGUGCCAGCA
rnacentral:rRNA from 1 species